rnacentral:rRNA from 2 species
GCUAAAAAGCUAGCUCUCACAUUAAAGUUAAACUUACAACAUUUCUAAUUUUACAUUACUCUAAUCCAAUUAACUAAACCAUUCUACUGCCAUAGUACGGGCGACGGAAAAGGCACUCACUGAAGCAAUAGACAAAGUACCGCAAGGGAAAGCUGAAAGAGAAAUGAAACAACCCAUCAAAGCCCAAAAAAGCAGAGCUUAAACCUCGUACCUUUUGCAUCAUGAUUUAGCUAGAAACCCUUGAGCAAAGAGACCUUUAGUUCAACACCCCCGAAACCAAGUGAGCUACCCCGAGACAGCCUAUGACAGGGCCAACCCGUCUCUGUGGCAAAAGAGUGGGAAGAUCUCCCGGUAGCGGUGACAAACCUACCGAAACCUGGUGAUAGCUGGUUGCCUAGGAAUUGGAUAGAAGUUCAGCCUCGUACUCCUCAACCCAAAUUUUAAGCCAUUGCUCAUUAACGAACCGAGAAAAAUACGAGAGUUAUUCAAAUGGGGUACAGCCCAUUUGAACAAGGAUACAACCUUUCCCAGGAGGUUAAGGAUUAUACUAACCAAGAUUACUGCUCCAGUGGGCCUAAAAGCAGCCACCUGUCAAGAAAGCGUUAAAGCUCAGGCAGACAAUAAAUCUAUUAUUCCCAUAAACUACUCCUAAACCCCUACCUAUACUAGGCCUUUCCAUGCUAACAUGGAAAUGACCCUGCUAAAAUGAGUAAUAAGAAGGCCCCCCCCCUUCUCCUAGCCCAUGUGUAAGUUAGAUCGGACCCUCCACUAACAAUUAACGACCCCAAUCUCAGCGGGAAAUGUGGUCUACAAAAAGACCAAGCAAAUACCACCAACAAACUUAAUCGUUAACCCCACACUGGCGGGCUAUAAUCUAAAGGAAAGACUAAAAGAAAAAGAAGGAACUCGGCAAACACAAGCCUCGCCUGUUUACCAAAAACAUCGCCUCCUGCAAAAAUCAAUGUAUAGGAGGUCCUGCCUGCCCAGUGACUUUAAGUUAAAUGGCCGCGGUAUUUUGACCGUGCUAAGGUAGCGCAAUCACUUGUCUUUUAAAUGAAGACCUGUAUGAAUGGCGAGACGAGGGCUUAACUGUCUCCUUUUUCUGGUCAAUGAAAUUGAUCUCCCCGUGCAGAAGCGGGCAUAAAAAUACAAGACGAGAAGACCCUUUGGAGCUUAAGACUAACGACCAACUGCAUCAAUACUUCCAACAAAAAGAAAUUUAAACUAAGCAUACCAAUGGUCUACGUCUUCGGUUGGGGCGACCGCGGGGGAAAAUAUAGCCCCCAUGUGGUACGGGCUUAAACCUUAAACCAAGAGAGACAUCUCUAAGUCUCAGAAUAUCUGACCAAAAGAUCCGGCCUAAGGCCGAUCAACGAACCAAGUUACCCUAGGGAUAACAGCGCAAUCCUUUCCAAGAGUCCAUAUCGACGAAAGGGUUUACGACCUCGAUGUUGGAUCAGGACAUCCUAAUGGUGCAGCCGCUAUUAAGGGUUCGUUUGUUCAACGAUUAAAGUCCUACGUGAUCUGAGUUCAGACCGGAGCAAUCCAGGUCAGUUUCUAUCUGUAAAGCUAUUUUUCCUAGUACGAAAGGACCGGAAAAACAAGGCCAAUACUUCAAGCACGCCUUAUUUCCACUUAAUGAAAUUAACUUAAUUAAACAAAGAAAAGCACAACCUCCUCCUAAGACAAUGGACU